rnacentral:sRNA from 1 species
GGUUUGGUGCGAUCGCGUGAGACAGCGUCAGGCGCUUGAUUUCCCUGAGUCCCGGUGCCUCAGCUGCCCAGUGCCCACGUUCGUAAGAAGGCAACAAGUUCUUCUCCUCUACAGAAGGAUUUUGCAAACAAUUCGGCAAGUUCCAAAUGAUUCUGAUCGCAAACACCUGAAAGAUUGGGCAAGAGAAGAAUUCAAAAGAAACAAAAGUGCCACCGAAGAGUAGCCUCCAACUGAUUCUCCAGCUUGUUGAUUAGAGGUUCACAUCGACAACCAUUUAUUGGUGCCUAAGAGAAAAACAAAAAAGGAAUCAAUCCCUCGUUCAUUCCUUCAUCAGGCUUCGCCCACGACUGAAGCGCAAGACCUGAAGGAGGCAAACGGCAUUGUUACAACCACUGGUGUGCGCAGCAUCUGUGUGAGAGAAUUCUCCUUGGACCUGGGGCUCUGACCUAAUGGAAUUUACAGCUUAGAGGGUGAGAGCAGGUGUUCACAUCAAGCAAGCACCUCUGGACCACCUACCAUCCUCCUAGGUCUUGUCCUGGGCACCACGGGGACUCGGAGACAGGCAGCUGGGAUUCCCAGAGAAAAUUCUGCAAAACCCAUGCUGAAGUGAAAAGGAACCGAGGCCAGAGGCCAAAUGCACCUUAGCAGAGAGCUCCUGGAGAGAAGGCUAGAAAGAUAAGAAACUGAGGCUCAAAGAAGUUAAGCAACUUGCACAAUUAGCAAACAAAGCAGAGUUAAAAUCUGUGAGCAGGUGCCCUAACUACAGAGUCUGCACUCUCUCCCAUUUGUGAUUGCCUGGGCCCUGGAAAGUGCUAUGGGUAGAUCACACAAGCUCUGAGUUAAG